CUUGAAAAAGGGAGUUCAAGAAGAGCUUCGAAGAAGCUUUCUGGAUGGAGGGGAGUGGCAGACGGGUGAGUAACGCGUGGGAACAUACCCUUAUCUUCGGAACAACUCCGGGAAACUGGAGCUAAUACCGAAUGUGCCCUGAGGGGGAAAGAUUUAUCGGCAAAGGAUCGGCCCGCGUUGGAUUAGCUAGUUGGUGGGGUAAUGGCCUACCAAGGCGACGAUCCAUAGCUGGUCUGAGAGGAUGAUCAGCCACAUUGGGACUGAGACACGGCCCAAGCUCCUACGGGAGGCAGCAGUGGGGAAUAUUGGACAAUGGGCGCAAGCCUGAUCCAGCCAUGCCGCGUGAGUGAUGAAGGCCUUAGGGUUGUAAAGCUCUUUCACCGAUGAAGAUAAUGACGGUAGUCGGAGAAGAAGCCCCGGCUAACUUCGUGCCAGCCGCCGCAGUAACAC
rnacentral:rRNA from 1 species